UACGGAGGGUGCGAGCGUUGUCCGGAAUCACUGGGCGUAAAGGGCGCGUAGGUGGCGGGACAAGCGUGCGGUGAAAGCCUGGAGCUCAACCCCGGGUCGGCCGUGCGAACUGUUUUGCUUGAGCACUGUAGAGGCAGGCGGAAUUCCGGGUGUAGCGGUGGAAUGCGUAGAGAUCCGGAAGAACACCGGUGGCGAAGGCGGCCUGCUGGGCAGUAGCUGACACUGAGGCGCGACAGCGUGGGGAGCAAACAGG
rnacentral:rRNA from 1 species